rnacentral:rRNA from 1 species
UACGUAGGGGGCAAGCGUUGUCCGGAAUCAUUGGGCGUAAAGCGCGCGUAGGCGGCCCGGUAAGUCCGUUGUGAAAGUCAAAGGCUCAACCUUUGAACGCCGAUGGAUACUGCCGGGCUAGAGUCCGGAAGAGGCGAGUGGAAUUCCUGGUGUAGCGGUGGAAUGCGCAGAUAUGCGGAGGAACACCGAUGGCGAAGGCAAUCCCCUGGGCCUGCACUGACGCUCAUGCACGAAAGCGUGGGGAGCAAACAGG